rfam:Stegodyphus mimosarum contig36332, whole genome shotgun sequence.
GCCUUCUUGGUGUACUGGUCAGCACGCUCGGUGUGUAUUCGAGAGGUCCGUGGUUCGAGUCCCGGCGAGGGCA